CUACGGGACGCUCCAGUGGGGAAUAUUGCACAAUGGAGGAAACUCUGAUGCAGCAACGCCGCGUGGAGGAUGACACAUUUCGGUGCGUAAACUCCUUUUAUAUAGGAAGAUAAUGACGGUACUAUAUGAAUAAGCGCCGGCUAACUCCGUGCCAGCAGCCGCGGUAAUACGGAGGGCGCAAGCGUUACUCGGAAUCACUGGGCGUAAAGAGCGUGUAGGCGGAUAGAUAAGUCAGGAGUGAAAUCCUAUGGCUCAACCAUAGAACUGCUCUUGAAACUGUCUAUCUAGAGUGUGGGAGAGGUAGAUGGAAUUUCUGGUGUAGGGGUAAAAUCCGUAGAGAUCAGAAGGAAUACCGAGUGCGAAGGCGAUCUACUGGAACAUAACUGACGCUGAGACGCGAAAGCGUGGGGAGCAAACAGGAUUAGAUACCCUCGUAGUC
rnacentral:rRNA from 1 species